UGGGGAAUCUUGCGCACUGGCCGAAAGGCUGACGCAGCGACGCCGCGUGGAGGAUGACGCCCUUCGGGGUGUAAACUCCUGUUGCCCGGGACGAAUACCCGUUUCGACGGGGGUGACGGUACCGGGUGAGGAAGCCCCGGCUAACUCUGUGCCAGCAGCCGCGGUAAUACAGAGGGUGCGAGCGUUGUCCGGAAUCACUGGGCGUAAAGGGCGCGUAGGCGGCUGGGUAAGCGUGUGGUGAAAGCCCGGGGCUCAACCCCGGGUCGGCCAUGCGAACUGGCCAGCUGGAGCACGGUAGAGGCACAUGGAAUUCUGGGUGUAGCGGUGGAAUGCGUAGAGAUCCGGAAGAACACCGGUGGCGAAGGCGGUGUGCUGGGCCGUGGCUGACGCUGAGGCGCGACAGCGUGGGG
rnacentral:rRNA from 1 species